rnacentral:rRNA from 1 species
CGUCCUUAGAAAAAGAAUAAGGAUCGCGCCUGCCCGGUGAUGAGAGUUAAACGGCCGCAGUUAAUAGCUGUGCUAAGGUAGCGCAAUCAAUUGUCCUUUAAUAAGGGAAUGGUAUGAAUGGCUGUACGCGAGAUAAGCUGUCUCUAUUAUAUUAGCAAGAAAUUUUCCUUUAAGUGAAAAGACUUAGAUUUUUUUAAAAGACGAGAAGACCCUAUCGAACUUAAUCAUUUUUAAAAGAACUCAUUUAAAAAGAAUUUUUACUGGGGCAGUAAGAAGAAAAAAAUAACUCUUCCUUAUAAAAAAAGAUCCCUCAAUGAGGAGAAAAAGAAAAAGUUACCGUAGGGAUAACAGCGUUAUCGUUUUUAAGAGAUCUAAUCGAAGAAACGGUUUGCGACCUCGAUGUUGGAUUUAAAUUUCUUCCUGAGCGCAGGAGCUAGGAAAGUAGGUCUGUCCGCCCUUUGAAAUUUGACA